rnacentral:rRNA from 1 species
CAGUAGCCGCGGGAAUACGAAGGGGGCUAGCGUUGCUCGGAAUGACUGGGCGUAAAGGGCGCGUAGGCGGAUGGCACAGUCAGAUGUGAAAUUCCCGGGCUUAACCUGGGGGCUGCAUUUGAUACGUGUUGUCUAGAGUGAGGAAGAGGGUCGUGGAAUUCCCAGUGUAGAGGUGAAAUUCGUAGAUAUUGGGAAGAACACCGGUGGCGAAGGCGGCGACCUGGUCCUUUACUGACGCUGAGGCGCGAAAGCGUGAGGAGCAAACAGGAUUAGAUACCCGAGUAGUCCCUGUCUCUUAUAC